UAGAAAUAAUUCCUGCCCAGUGACAAGUUCAACGGCCGCGGUAUCCUAACCGUGCAAAGGUAGCAUAAUCAUUUGCCUAUUAAUUGUAGGCUAGAAUGAACGGAAAAACGAAAUAAAGUCUGUCUCAAUCAAUAAACUAAAAAUUAAUAUUUACAUGAAGAAGUGUAAAUUAAAUUGAAGGACAAGAAGACCCUAUAGAGCUUUAUUUAAUAUGUAAAAAUAAAUUACAUACAAAAUUCGGUUGGGGCGACCCAGGAAAAGUAAACAUCCUAAACACAAAAGAUAUAUAAAUCUAAAAAAUGACCCUUAUUUAGAUCAAAAGAACAAGCUACCUUAGGGAUAACAGGCUAAUUAUAUUAAAGAGUUCAUAUCAAUAAUAUAGUUUGGCACCUCGAUGUUGGCUUAGGAUAUCUAUACGGCCCAAAAGUUGUAUAAAGAUGGUUUGUUCCACCAAUAAU
rnacentral:rRNA from 1 species